rnacentral:rRNA from 1 species
GAUGAACGCUGGCGGCGUGCUUAACACAUGCAAGUCGAACGGGAAUUACUUUAUUGAAACUUCGGUCGAUUUAAUUUAAUUCUAGUGGCGGACGGGUGAGUAACGCGUGGGUAACCUGCCUUAUACAGGGGGAUAACAGUCAGAAAUGACUGCUAAUACCGCAUAAGCGCACGGAACCGCAUGGUUCUGUGUGAAAAACUCCGGUGGUAUAAGAUGGACCCGCGUUGGAUUAGCUUGUUGGUGGGUAAUGGCCUACCAAGGCGACGAUCAGUAGCCGGACUGAGAGGUUGAACGGCCACAUUGGGACUGAGAUACGGGCCCAGACUCCUACGGGAGGCAGCAGUCGGGAAUAUUGCGCAAUGGGAGGAAACUCUGACGCAGUGACGCCGCGUGCAGGGAAG